rnacentral:RNase_P_RNA from 1 species
GCGGGAGGACGGGCGGUCGCCCCGGGGCAGGCCCCCGGGGAGGAAAGUCCGGGCUCCGCAGGGCAGGGUGCUGGAUAACGUCCAGUCGGGGAAACCCGAAGGAAAGUGCCACAGAGAACAGACCGCCCGGCGCGCGGCGAUGCCGAGCGCCGGGUAAGGGUGAAACGGUGAGGUAAGAGCUCACCAGCGGCCCGGGCGACCGGGCCGGCUCGGCAAACCCCACCCGGAGCAAGGCCAAAUAGGGGAGCGUUACGAGGGUGGCCCGCCCCAGGCUCCCGGGUAGGCCGCUUGAGGCCCGGGGAAACCCGGGUCCCAGAGGAAUGACCGCCACCCCCUUCCGAGGGGGUACAGAACCCGGCUUACAGCCCUCCCGCCCGC